UCUCCGUUGGUGAACCAGUGGAGGGAUCAUUACAGGACUCGCAGGACUCCUACAACCCUGUGAACUUAACUAUAAGCACGUUGCUUCGGCGGGUGUCUCGGAGGGGGUUCUCCCUCCCCGAGACGCUAAACCCGCCGGCAGCCUACUAUACUCUGUCUCUUUGCGUUGGCAUCUCGAGUACAAUCAAACAAGUUAAAACUUUCAACAACGGAUCUCUUGGUUCUG
rnacentral:misc_RNA from 1 species